CAAGACAUUCCAUAGCCUAGACUCACCUAUUUUUGGCCCUCUGGUUUUUCAGGUAAUAAAAAGUGCCCCAGGUGGAAACACUGACAUGGAGAAUUCAUGAAGCACCUUUUCUGAGAAUCACAGAUGUUGAGAACCAGGCGGGAGUUUAGAGAGCCCCAGAUUCAGCAGCCUCCAAUUGACAAAGAGGAAGACCAGGACUGGACUUGCCCCAAGGGACAGAAAAAACAAUCUCUGGGGCAAAGGGCAGCCAUGCUCUCCUCUGCAGAGACACCUCUCCUCUCUGUCUGUGCUGCUGGGAUGCAGAUGUUCUUACCUACGGGAAGUACCUUCAGCCCUGAGGUCUCCAGGUAGCUGCUCGCAAAAAGCCUCUGAAAUGGCAGAAAGUUAUUGGCCAACUCAGGCCUUCCUGGGCCAGGAUGGAGCUGUCUGACACCACCUAGAGGUUUUAGGCAGGGAAACGGGAGAAAAACUCUGAGCUGGUCAAGUUAGGCUUGUUUUAUUGGGAGUUGUCCCCAAAGGGCUCUGCUAGAGAAGGGUCUAAUUGGAUUCUCAUACUCCCAAGCACAUGCAGGGAGACCUUCCGUAGAAACACGAUGGGGCAGAAGAGAGAGAUGAGCCAGGUCCUUUGGAGAUUUCAGCAUGGGCUAUAACUGAGAACUCAAAUCAAAGGUCUCCCGACCAUUACAAUUUUUUUCAUGUAUAGCUCUUGCUUAUUCUCUACUGAUUUAAUAAUAGGGGAGGCAAUUUUAUGUUGGCUAACAGGUUAAAAAAUCUCAAAAAGAGGAGGAACGAGAGGGCUGUGGUUUCGGAUGGCAGCUGGCUCAAACCAGGUUCUUAACCUGGGGUCUAUUGAUCCCUAGGUAGAUAUCAAGGGGUCCAUGAACUUGAAAAGGAAGAAAAAAUACAUCUUUAGUUCAAUAUAAUUGGUUUCCUUUGUAAUUUAUGUAUUUUAUUUUAUGCAUUUGAAUGUUUUAUUCUGAGGAGUCCAUAGGCUUCCCCAGACUGCCAGAGGGCUCCAUCACCC
rnacentral:lncRNA from 1 species